CGGGGGGAGCAAGCGUUGUUCGGAAUCACUGGGCGUAAAGGGCGUGUAGGCGGUUGAGUAAGUGGAAUGUGAAAUGCCCCGGCUCACCCGGGGACCGGCAUUCCAUACUGCUCAGCUCGAGUAUGGGAGAGGAUGAGGGAAUUCCUGGUGUAGCGGUGAAAUGCGUAGAUAUCAGGAGGAACACCGGUGGCGAAAGCGCUCAUCUGGCCCAAUACUGACGCUGAGGCGCGAAAGCUAGGGGAGCAAACGGGAUUAGAUACCCCGGUAGUCCUAGCCGUAAACGGUGAUCACUAGGUGUUGGAGGCAUCGACCCCUCCAGUGCCGCAGCUAACGCAUUAAGUGAUCCGCCUGGGGAGUACGGCCGCAAGGUUG
rnacentral:rRNA from 1 species